UACGUAGGGAGCGAGCGUUGUCCGGAUUCAUUGGGCGUAAAGAGCUCGUAGGCGGCUUGGCAAGUCGGGUGUGAAAACUCCAGGCUCCAACCUGGAGACGCCACCCGAUACCUGCCAUGGCGUAGAGUCCGGUAGGGGACCACGGAAUUCCUGGUGUAGCGGUGAAAUGCGCAGAUAUCAGGAGGAACACCGGUGGCGAAGGCGGCGAGCUGGUCCAUUACUGACGCUGAGGCGCGACAGCGUGGGGAGCAAACAGG
rnacentral:rRNA from 1 species